CAUGUGCUGUCAUUUAAGAGUGGAUUGCAUUACCCUAUCACCAAAAAAUGUGGCAAUUAAAUGUCUUGCCAGAAGUCCAUAGCAACUGAAUCCUCAGUACGCGGGUAGACAUGGCAAAUGGGCAGUUUGCACAGCAGUGAGCCAGAAGGGUUAGCCAAGGAAAUUAUCAAAAGGAAGGCAAAGUGUUGAAUACAUUGUUCCAAGCAAGUAUGGAAAGCAGUGACUAAAAAAGACAUGGAAACCGAAUAGCAGAUGAUAAAUAAUAAAUCAAAGGUAAAGUGAAGUAGGUAGGGCCAAGAAAAUACUACACACAAUGACUACCACAAUGAAAAUGGAAAGAUCAACACUAUCAGCAACACAAUCAAAACUGAAUGCUGAAAAUAUAACGAGCAAACUUUGUCCCA